rnacentral:lncRNA from 1 species
AGUGGUAAAUCAGGUGUCGCUGGGUGACCGCGGGUGGCCUCGGGAGGUCCUGAGGCUAAGGGCACAGGAGACAUUUGGAGAGGUAGGGUUGUCUGGGCGAGCAGGAAUGCUUCAUAAACUGGAGCUCAAGGUCUCUGCGCCACUGGAUUCUGCCUUUCGGAAUAAGGAUGAUGUCACCCAGACGCCCACAGCUCUGACAUGGAAGUGUGGGCCUUCUGCAGACUCAGACCAUCAGAGUGACACACCAAUCAGGCAGCAGAGGACGCCGUCCUCACCCAGGAUCCCAAGUGUACUUCUCGGCACUGAAUUUGGAAAGCGGUGUUCUUAUCAGAAGAGACUGGAGAUGCAGAAAGACACCAAGCACAGGAGAAAGACAACAUGACCACCGAACACGGGCUGAACUGAAGCACCAUGAGCUUCAGUGGCAAACACUAGAAGCUAAGAAAGACACCAAGCAGGAGUGUCCCACAGAACCUUCAUGGACUGCUGGCUCCACAGGGGCCUUUGUUUCCCCGUCUCGCUUCCAAAAUUGAGACAAUCUAUGCUGCUGUCCUCAGCUGCUGACGUGGUCUGUGGCUUUUAUUGGAGAACCCUGGGGCUCGUAUAGAGGAUAGGAGAAGCACCAGCCGCCCUGGGAAAUGGGGUGUGAGCAGCAGGAAGCUGGGAAUGGCCCUCUAAGAAAAACAUCUCUAAAAAUGGGGAGUAUAGCAGACCAACAAUGUCACAUGAAACGGAAUACCCUCUUGCCUGGGUGGAUGCGUGUGCAAAUGCACUGAAAGCACAGUACAGGGGUCACUGUGAAGGUGCCCACGUCUCACUACAAAACUCUACUCAUAUUGAGUUGGCACAGAGAUCAUUAAAAGAGGCCAACAAGCAGUUUAUCAAGUUGCAAGCAUUCCUCAGGCAGUCCCAUGUCCUGCCAGGGUUGAGAGUCACCAUUAAAUAUCUGAACCUUCUGAGAGAAGGUCAGCCUGGCACUAUUGUCCAUGAGUGUUCCUGGAUCACGCGCUCAGGGCCUGAGGCUGGUGAUGAUCAGAUGGCCACAGGGAGAAACGGGUAAGAAGAGAGAGAAAUGAUUUACAUGGGAUCGUCCAUCUGAGCUCGGCAGAGUGUCGUUGGUCCACUGGCUCUCUAGUCUCCAUGCCAAGAUGAGGUCUGACUCUAUAAAUAUCACAAUGC